rnacentral:tmRNA from 7 species
GGGAGCGACUUGGCUUCGACAGGAGUAAGUCUGCUUAGAUGGCAUGUCGCUUUGGGCAAAGCGUAAAAAGCCCAAAUAAAAUUAAACGCAAACAACGUUAAAUUCGCUCCUGCUUACGCUAAAGCUGCGUAAGUUCAGUCGAGCCUGAAAUUUAAGUCAUACUAUCUAGCUUAAUUUUCGGUCAUUUUUGAUAGUGUAGCCUUGCGUUUGACAAGCGUUGAGGUGAAAUAAAGUCUUAGCCUUGCUUUUGAGUUUUGGAAGAUGAGCGAAGUAGGGUGAAGUAGUCAUCUUUGCUAAGCAUGUAGAGGUCUUUGUGGGAUUAUUUUUGGACAGGGGUUCGAUUCCCCUCGCUUCCACCA